GGUAACAGCCCACCAAGGCGAAGAUGGAUAGCUGGUCUGAGAGGACGAUCAGCCACACUGGGACUGAGACACGGCCCAGACUCCUACGGGAGGCAGCAGUGGGGAAUAUUGCGCAAUGGGGGAAACCCUGACGCAGCAACGCCGCGUGAGUGAUGAAGGCCUUCGGGUUGUAAAGCUCUUUCGGUUGGGAAGAAGGGGAGUUGUUUUAAUAAAGCAGUUCUUUGAUGGUACCAAAAGAAGAAGCACCGGCAAACUUCGUGCCAGCAGCCGCGGUAAUACGA
rnacentral:rRNA from 1 species